GUCUGGGUGACCAAGAGAUUGGAGGGGUGCUUCAAAUCUCUCCCCACGGGCCGCGCGAGCCGCCACGCAGCACCCCCACGGAGAAGCCGCCGUCCAGGCGGAGCUGCGCGUGAUGAGGGGUCUCGGGAGAGCUUCAUGGUCUUGGGACAUAACAGCUGCUGCCUGAUCUUCAGCCAUCUCUGAAGCCUCCGGCCCCAGCCUCCGGGAGCUGAACAGGACAAGGACGGGGAGCAGGAGAGAAACUGGAGUUGAAAUGGGUUGGGACUGAAUCACUAUACCCGUCUGAGGCUGGUCGGGCGGCCCUACUGCAGCCCCGUUCCUCCUCACCCAGCUGCACUUCCAUUUUCUUUAGCAUGUCACAUGCUGUCACAUUUACUUACUUAUUAUGGCUCUUAUUUACUGUCUUUCUCUUUCCCCUCGCCUCCCAGCGUGUAACUCCACAAGGGUCUCUGCUUUUAACCAAUGUUUCCCUAGUGUCUAGAAUUACACCGUCACUUGGGCAGCCCCUCACUGCACGUGGCCACUUAACCUUAGCUAACUUACAGUGAAAUAAAGAUUCAGAGGUUCAGUUGCAUUGGCAUGUGGCGCGUGGCUACCACAUUGGGCAGGACAGACAGGGAACAUUUCGUUAUCGCCCUCAGCUGUACUGAACACCGCUGAUCUAGAACAGCAGCUGGCAUGUGUGGUGUUCAAUAAAUAUUUGUAGAACAAA